rnacentral:tRNA from 1 species
GCCCCGGUAGCUCAGAUGGACAGAGCGCUGGAUUCCUAAUCCGGAGGUCCCGAGUUCAACUCUCGGCCGGGGUGCCA